rnacentral:tRNA from 1 species
GCCGGGGUGGUGGAAUUGGUAGACACGCUAGAUUCAGGAUCUAGUGCUCGCAAGGGCAUGGGAGUUCGAGUCUCCCCUUCGGCACCA